CAGUUUAUUUGACGAACCUUGCUGUGUAAUAAGGUUUUACGGGUGACGCCCAAAUCGGAGUUAGAAAAACACUUAGGCAAGUCAUAUUAAGUCACGACUUCCUGCAAACCACAUUCGAUGUCGGUCUGAGACGAGAUUUCAUACUUCUUAGAUUUGCGAUGACAAAGAAGUAAAGGUUAUCCGAAGACCCCUCCGCUGUAAAGCCUCUCAUUGGACAGCGCUAAUUCGAUUACUGGACCAAACCGCCACCUGCACAUACAUACGUAACUUCAACAAGUUGCAAUGUCGACCGCACAGAGUCCAACAAUAUCUACCGCCUCGGAGUGGACAUGGAAGGUUCACACUGACGGCACGGUUGGCCCAGCCGAGAUCGCGGCUAUCGUUUGUACAGGGUUCAUACUUCUCUGCUUCCUGGUUACACUUCUCUUGGACAUUCUUCAAACCAGGAAACAAACGCAAGUCAAGAAAGCCAGCGUGGUCGCGCCAGGGCCUGAGUGGUACCGUAACCGCUAAGAGACGUACUCACAACUUCAAACAUUUAUCAUAGAAGCUUAUCGACACGUCUUAGUACAAUGCUAAACUUUCUUCAAACAUCGGAUCAAAUUUUCAACGCGAGUUUACGUUCUGAAGAGAUCUGUCAUCGGUAUUGAUCCUGGAGAAGGCGACGGUGGUCGUUAAAAGUUUGAUCCGUGUAUACAUUUGUGUUGAAAUAAAGUUAACGUUUAACAUUAUAUUGUACUAUCAAUUUUUGUAUCCUACGAUAUUUAGCUGUAUGAAAACGGAGUUAUUGUAGUCAGUGAGUUUUUUUUAUCCUGUUGUAUGAUCUCAUUUGGGCAGGCUCCCAAGAUGUGAUACGGGACUAGUGGAAUAGAAUACUUGGAGAAUUGGAUAUCUGCUUUGGCUCUGUUCCAAUGUUGUAGAUAUGCAGGAAUUGAUGACUCAUGGCUUCGCCCACAUGUGUCUGAACGUUAUAAAUGUCCAUACCCAUUUAGAGCGUGUUUCAUAUGUUUCUCCAUGCGAACUUUCUCCCGACUUGACCGAAUACUAAGGACGUUACAAGAGGCAUCGUUCUAGUUAUGGGCAUGGUUGUGAAACUACGUAAUGUAUCGAUGGACAAACACUGUACACUAUGGUCAGAAACGGCUCAAGAGUAUAGAUGCAUAGAACGUUUCUUUUAUAUGGCAGACGAACUUGUAUAGAUUUUUACACAAAGAGAUAUUCCUACAUGUGCAUUCCACUCCAGAAAGAAGUGCAAUUUCCAAUAGGUAAUGUAUUAAUGAAUAUAUUAAUCAGCCGACCUUACCAUUGUCUCUUCACACACAAAGCAAACAUUGUGAAGAUUUUUUCUGUUCAUUCAAAGCGGAAAGUUGAACUCAAACGGUAGUAUAUUACAUGAGGCACAAUCAAUUUGUCCACCAUAACAUCCUUGUAAAACCGUUAGCUGUGUUUGCAGACCUAAUUAUAGCCCCAAACAAUAGCGAGUGGAUGUUACCUAGAAUUUAUGACGCGAAAGAAUUGAGGGAAGUUUAGAAAGGGUUAUUUCAUUUCAAAUUAUGUUUGGAGUAUGAUUCGGGUAUGCAAUGCUAGGAGAUGGAGUCAGUCCAAAUAAGCUGCACGAAAAUGACGGUUGAUGAUCGUUGUGACAGAAGUGUUACGAUAUUUAGUAGAUUAGGUCUAGGUCAUGUUGAUUUGAUUAUAUUGCUAAUGUCCUCUGGGAACCCCAA